rnacentral:rRNA from 1 species
AACACAUGCAAGUCGAGCGGAAAGGCCCUUCGGGGUACUCGAGCGGCGAACGGGUGAGUAACACGUGAGUAAUCUGCCCUUCACUCUGGGAUAACGUUCAGAAAUGGAUGCUAAUACCGGAUGUACACAUGGUCUCGCAUGGGGUUGUGUGGAAAGGUUUUUCUGGUGGGGGAUGUGCUCGCGGCCUAUCAGCUUGUUGGUGGGGUAAUGGCCUACCAAGGCUUUGACGGGUAGCCGGCCUGAGAGGGUGACCGGCCACACUGGGACUGAGACACGGCCCAGACUCCUACGGGAGGCAGCAGUGGGGAAUAUUGGACAAUGGGCGGAAGCCUGAUCCAGCAACGCCGCGUGAGGGAUGACGGCCUUCGGGUUGUAAACCUCUUUCACCAUUGACGAAGCUGCAUCUUUUUGGGUGUGGUGACGGUAGGUGGGGAAGAAGCACC